rnacentral:rRNA from 1 species
GACAGAGGAUGCAAGCGUUAUCCGGAAUGAUUGGGCGUAAAGAGUUGCGUAGGUGGCAUAGUAAGUAGGUAGUGAAAGCGUGUGGCUCAACCAUAUACACAUUAUCUAAACUGCUAAGCUAGAGGACGAGAGAGGUUAUUGGAAUUCCUAGUGUAGGAGUGAAAUCCGUAGAUAUUAGGAGGAACACCGAUGGCGUAGGCAGAUAACUGGCUCGUUUCUGACACUAAGGCACGAAAGCGUGGGUAGCAAACGGG